GAGUUGGCCCUGGAAUUGGCAAAGGUGUCGUCGGAGGACCCGUUGGCCCUGUUGGCGGUGUUGGCGGUGUUGGAGUCGGCGUCGGUCCCGGAAUCGGUAAAGGAGUCGGCGGAGUGCCUGUUGGAGGUCCUGUCGGAGGCGCUGUUGGUGUCGGCCCUGGUCUCGGUAAGGUGUCGUCGGAGGACCCGUCGGAGGACCCGUCGGAGGACCUGUCGGAGGAGCUAUCGGUGUCGGCCCGGAAGUCGGUGGUGGUGUUGGGCCCGGCGUUGGUGUUGUUCCAGUAGGUGGCGCAAUCGGUGGAGGCUAUGGAGGUGGCGUCGGAGGAGGCUACGGAGGUGGUGUCGGCGGAGGCUACGGAGGUGGCGUCGGCGGCGUCGCAUGGGGCUGCUACUUCUAGUUCCGCUACCAGGGUGCUGGAGGUUUUGCGGACAAGGCUGCCGGUCAGGAAGCCGGUCAAGGAGCUUUGCCUACAACGUUGGCGGCUCCGACAAGAAAGUCUUCGGGCACAGCUCGUCGUACGGAGACCUCCAAAAGCUUCGGCCUGAGUGAGAGCUCAGGUUUCAACCGCGGUGAGGGUCAAAGCAAGCCACGGCAGCGCCUACGACAAGGAGGCUGCUGGGUCCGGUUCCGUGUCCCACAGUUCUGGAAAGGAGGUCGUUGUCGGCUGAAAGAUUUUCAUGUAUGGCUGUUUGUGUGCUGGUCGCCAACGCCGUUGUUCAUCUGUCCGUUACAGCUAGCAUCAUCUAUACUGUGCCAUAGUCUUCGGAGUUUCGUGCAGUAAGAAGUUACGCUUCUAAACACAAAAUAGAACGAUACCAGUCCGAAGAAUGACAAUGUACCGCAUAUUUUGUUUUGGAAUGGGAGCGCCCACAUUUGUCAAGCAUCGCGGAAGCAAGCACCAAAAAAAAAAAAGGCGGAGGUAUCCGAAAGGUAACUUCCAACAAUAAAAAUAUUUUCACAAAGAA